ACCGGCGCACGGGUGAGUAACACGUAUGCAACCUACCUUCAACAGGAGAAUAACCCGUCGAAAGACGGACUAAUACUCCAUAACACAGGGAUCCCGCAUGGGAAUAUUUGUUAAAGAUUUAUUGGUUGAAGAUGGGCAUGCGCUCCAUUAGCUAGUUGGUGAGGUAACGGCUCACCAAGGCAACGAUGGAUAGGGGAACUGAGAGGUUUAUCCCCCACACUGGUACUGAGACACGGACCAGACUCC
rnacentral:rRNA from 1 species